AAGGGUUUCACCUCCUUUCAGGGGAACCCGGAGAAUUGGGUUAUUUUCCCGGUUAAUGAAGGCUUGUUGAUUAUAAGAUUAUCGGUAAAGAGGGCCUGCGUUUCUUAGCUAGUGGUGGGUAACGCUUCCAAGGUAGGAGAUUAGGGUCCUGAGAGGAGAUCCCCCACAUGGUAAUAGACACGGACCAGAUUCCUACGGGAGGCAGCAGUGAGGAAUAUUGGUCAAGGAGGCAACUCUGAACCAGCCAUGCCGCGUGCAGGAUGACGGUCCUAUGGAUUGUAAACUGCUUUUGUACGGGAAGAAAUGUGAUUACGUGUAAUUAUUUGACGGUACCGUAAGAAUAAGGAUCGGCUAACUCCGUGCCAGCAGCCGCGGUAAUACGGAGGAUCCGAGCGUUAUCCGGAAUUAUUGGGUUUAAAGGGUUCGUAGGCGGUUGAGUAAGUCAGUGGUGAAAUCUUAUAGCUUAACUAUAAAAUUGCCGUUGAUACUGCUUGACUUGAAUAGUAUGGAAGUAAUUAGAAUAUGUAGUGUAGCGGUGAAAUGCUUAGAUAUUACAUGGAAUACCAAUUGCGAAGGCAGAUUACUACGUACUUAUUGACGCUGAUGAACGAAAGCGUGGGUAGCGAACAGGAUUAGAUACCCUGGUAGUCCACGCCGUAAACGAUGGAUACUAGCUGUUCGGUUUUCGGACUGAGUGGCUAAGCGAAAGUGAUAAGUAUCCCACCUGGGGAGUACGUUCGCAAGAAUGAAACUCAAAGGAAUUGACGGGGGCCCGCACAAGCGGUGGAGCAUGUGGUUUAAUUCGAUGAUACGCGAGGAACCUUACCAAGGCUUAAAUGUAGAUUGACAGGUUUAGAGAUAGACUUUUCUUCGGACAAUUUACAAGGUGCUGCAUGGUUGUCGUCAGCUCGUGCCGUGAGGUGUCAGGUUAAGUCCUAUAACGAGCGCAACCCCUAUUGUUAGUUGCCAGCGAGUCAAGUCGGGAACUCUAACAAGACUGCCGGUGCAAACCGUGAGGAAGGUGGGGAUGACGUCAAAUCAUCACGGCCCUUACGUCUUGGGCUACACACGUGCUACAAUGGCCAGUACAGAAAGCAGCUACCAGGCAACUGGAUGCGAAUCUCAAAAACUGGUCUCAGUUCGGAUUGGAGUCUGCAACUCGACUCCAUGAAGCUGGAAUCGCUAGUAAUCGGAUAUCAGCCAUGAUCCGGUGAAUACGUUCCCGGGCCUUGUACACACCGCCCGUCAAGCCAUGGAAGCCGGGGGUACCUGAAGUCGGUCGCCCGCAGA
rnacentral:rRNA from 1 species